rnacentral:rRNA from 1 species
AGCAGCCGCGGUAAUUCCAGCUCCAAUAGCGUAUAUUAAAGUUGUUGCAGUUAAAAAGCUCGUAGUUGAAUUUCGGGAUCAGUUGGUCGGUCGUGCCUCGGUACGUACUGGUCAAAUUGAUUCCUACCUUCUGACGAACCACGAUGUCAUUAAUUUGGUGUCGCGGGAAAUCAGGACUGUUACUUUGAAAAAAUUAGAGUGUUUAAAGCAGGCUCGCGCUUGAAUACAUUAGCAUGGAAUAAUGAAAUAGGACGUUUGAUUCUAUUUUGUUGGUUUCUAGGAUCGACGUAAUGAUUAAUAGGGAUAGUUGGGGGCAUUAGUAUUCAAUUGUCAGAGGUGAAAUCCUUGGAUUUAUUGAAGACUAACUACUGCGAAAGCAUUUGCCAAGGAUGUUUUCAUUAAUCAAGAACGAAAGUUAGGGAAUCGAAGACGAUCAGAUACCGUCGUAGUCUUAACCAUAAACUAUAGCCGACUAGGGAUCGGAUGAUGUUAAUUUUUAAUGAACUUCAUUCGGCGCCUU